GACGAACGCUGGCGGCGUGCUUAACACAUGCAAGUCGAACGGAAAGGCCCCCUUGUGGGGUACUCGAGUGGCGAACGGGUGAGUAACACGUGAGUAACCUACCCUUGACUUUGGGAUAACUUCAGGAAACUGGGGCUAAUACCGGAUAGGAGCUCCUGCUGCAUGGUGGGGGUUGGAAAGUUUCGGCGGUUGGGGAUGGACUCGCGGCUUAUCAGCUUGUUGGUGGGGUAGUGGCUCACCAAGGCUUUGACGGGUAGCCGGCCUGAGAGGGUGACCGGCCACAUUGGGACUGAGAUACGGCCCAGACUCCUACGGGAGGCAGCAGUGGGGAAUAUUGCACAAUGGGCGGAAGCCUGACGCAGCAACGCCGCGUGCGGGAUGACGGCCUUCGGGUUGUAAACCGCUUUCGCCUGUGACGAAGCGUGAGUGACGGUAAUGGGUAAAGAAGCACCGGCUAACUACGUG
rnacentral:rRNA from 1 species